rnacentral:rRNA from 1 species
GACGUAGGGUCCAAGCGUUGUCCGGAUUUACUGGGCGUAAAGAGCGCGUAGGCGGUCUGUCAAGUGUAGAGUGAAAUCUCCAGGGCUCAACCCGGAAACUGCUCUGCAUACUGGCAGACUGGAGUGAUGCAGAGGUUUGUGGAAUUCCUGGUGUAACGGUGAAAUGUGUUGAUAUCAGGAGGAACACCCAUGGCGAAGGCAGCAAACUGGGCAUUAACUGACGCUGAGGCGCGAAAGCGUGGGUAGCAAACAGG